UUGAGAUGGAUGAGAAGAGAGAGUGGAUAAUCUUUUCCUAGACUUAGCAAGGCCUUUAACUCUGCCUCCCCUAAACUCCUCACAGAGAAGCUUUUGAAGUAUGGGCUGGGUGAGUAGACAGGAAGCUACAUCCAAAACUGGCUGAAUGGCCGGGCCCAAAAGGCAGUGGUCAGUGAUGCAAAAUCUAGUCAGAGGCCUAGAUUUUGAGUGGAGUACCCCAAGAUUCAGUACUGGUCCCAGUCCUAUUUAAUGUUUUCAUAAACAAUUUACCUUUAGUAAAUUUGCAGAUGACACAAAACUGAGGUCACUCCAGUACAACAGCGACAUGGAGUCAUUGAAGACAGACCAAUGCAGGGCCAUGAAGAUGAUGAAGGGUCUGGAAGACCUCUCCUAUGAGGAAAGGCUGGAACAUGAGGAGGGAGGGAGUCCAGGAGGAUCUGAUCAACAUCUCCAGAUGCCUGAAGGGAGGCUGCAAAGAAGAUGAAGCCAGAGAGUCGUUUCCGUGGUGCCCAAUGGCAGGAAAAGAGGCAAAAAGCAUAAACUGAAACACAACAGGUUCCCUUUCCACCAUCAGGAAGUGUAACAAAGCUCAGAGAGUUUGUGGAGUCUUUGGAGACCUUCAGAAGACUCUUGGAUAUGGUUCUGGGCAUCCUGCCCUGAGUGUUCCUGUUGGAGCAGGGGUUGGGCCAGAUGGACCCAGAGGGCUCUGCCAGCCUCAUCCAUGUUGGGAUUCUGUAACAUCAGAGAAGAUGAUGGGUGAGAGUGAGGGUGAGCAUGGGUUAGAUAGCCCUGGCUGCUUUGUGCAGGGGCAGCAGAUGGAGAAGAAGAGCAGGGAGUGUUUUCCUGGAGAAUGGGGAUGCAAGCAGGUCUCUUUGGAGGGGUUGAAAUAUGUGGGUUGCAUUGGAAGCUCUUUGUGGGGGCAGGAGUGCAUUGAGACAUGAAUAGGACAGCUGUGUCCCCAAAUAACAUGAAAUCUGUGUUUUCAGGAGGCAUUCUGUCUGAUCCUCAUCACACUCUUCUCUGCUUGCUCUGCAGGGAAGGAAAAUGCCUGAACCUUAGCAUGGCUCUUGUCUGCUGUGAUCUGUCUGAAAACCAAAACUGGCUUGUGAAGGGGCCAUCACUGCCUCAGGAAUGGCUGGCUGUAUGCUGGGCUGGCCUUAGUGCCAUACCAACUAAUGGGGCAGGUGUGGUCACCUGCUGCAGGACAUGCGGUGCCUCUCUCUGAAGCUGCACCUGCAGUGUCCAUUAACCAAGCCCUUACAGGUGGUGAGGUGAUGGUGGCUAUGAGCCACCCCCCAGCACUGUUCAGUGUUGGGGAGUAGCUUUUGGAAGCAGAGAUAUUUGUGCACAGUGCUGGGUGUGCAACUGUGCAAAAGCUUUAGAAAUAGAGUACAAUAUAUAUUUUCUUGGUGAUGUGAAGCCACAGUAGGUGAGGGAUGGGAGUGGAGGAGGCCUUUGUUACACACCUUUUAUUAUAAUAUACUUUUUUUUUUUUUAAAUUUCAGAGCAUUCAGCGGAGGAGGCAGUGUUAAAGUUUACACUGUGUUAAGGCUGAAGCGAUUGCAAGGCUCAGAGCUGAACAGACCAGUCUCCUAAGACAUGGGGAAGGAUGCUGUACAAACAGCUACAUAUGUUGCAGAGGAGGAGUGGAGCAGGGAAAGGUCCCCAUCCUGCUGAAGGAGCGAGGUCUUGGUGCAAUGGGAGAACAGAUCUCCUGCACAGGAGCUGGUGUCCUGCUGCACAGGCUGCUGCAGCUGUUGUGAAAUAACCUGCCUAGGAAGACUCCCUGUCCUGGGACCCCCAGCCCACCCCUGCAUAGAGAGUGGAUGCAGGUUGAGACCUUAUGGGCACCCUUGGCUGAGUGCCAAGAAGAGGGAUGGGAGAUGAUCAGAAGGUGCUCUCUAAUUGGGAGAUGUCCUUAUAUCUGUGAGUAAACUCACUUUCCUUCUCAGGUCAGAAUGUGACUUAUGUUCCGGGAUGUGUCUCAGCAGCUGGGCACUGUCAGAUCUGUGGUUUAAUACUGCGCUCUUAGAAUACAUAUGUUGUCUUCAGAGCUUGUCUGUAAUCAGAAUAUUGCUGGUUUUAUUCCUUGAUUUGAAGUUACUAAAAACCUAGUCGCUCUAGGAGAUAAGAAAGUUAGAAAGAAAAGACUUGAAUGGGCAAUCCAGGGAAAAUAAUCAGCAAUGACAGAGCUCCAGGAAACAGGAACUCCUCUGGGAAAAUGCCUUUUCAAUCACAUGCAUCUUUUCUCAGGCAGAGAUUCAGUUCUGCUUGCUGCAGAAAUACUGACCUGCUUGUUCCUUCCUUAAUGCAUGCAGAUAUUAGGGGGUGCUGCUUGGUUUUCAGAGGCAAACAUAUUCAGAGUUUGCCACAGUGAGGAUCUGUUCUGAGUGAAGAAAAAGCUGAGCAGAAAAACCCACCUCACGUGGAAUUUGCCCAUCUCCUUACUGCUAUGUCCUCACAAGUUUUAUUUACAGAUACACAGUUCGCAUGCCAGCUGUCCCCUGCGAGUGGUGAGCAGCAAAUGGAACUCACCCCAGAUAAGCAGUCUUGAUAUUUCCUUCUUCUGCUAGAUCUGUCCUCACACAAGAGGAUCAAAACAUGGCACGCCUCGUGCCUGGGGGACAGAGA